AACUUCAAUUUGGUGGUUUUUCCUGAAGAUAACUUUCUUAUUGCCGCAAACCAUUUAGUUGCAAUUUGAUAAAAAUGUUCUUAAAGCUUUGCACUCACAAUGGCUUUAACGUGAUGUUCUCCAAGUUAAACUUCCCCAUUUCAGUAAAUAACAGAUCUUUCACCGAGGCUUGUAAAAUCCCUCAGCAGUUACUCAGUAUUAAUUACUCAAGUUUUAUGAAUAGGAAAACUGAGCACAGGAGGAGGAAUAGUUUGGUAGAGUGCAAGUAGAAUAGCAUCCUGGGGUUUCGACUUUCAGUGCAUUUUCCUAAGGGCAAUGCCAGUGCCCUUGUGAGUCCGUUAAAAGCCUCCUAUAGACUUCAUUGAUAAGACAGACUCCCUAGAGGUGAGCCAGGGUUUGUCCUUCAACGUGUUUAUGUAAAGUACCUUCAGAACAGAUUUAUUGAAAUGAAUGCAUGGAGAAGAUAAGGCCACACGUGUCCUUUGAGCUAGCUGUUUCUUUCAGUGUAAUGUCUUGAGGCUUAUCUGAGUGUGCCUGAGAUUAGAAUUAGCCAGAGAAAGAGAAAAUUAGGGUAUAUUGGCAAAACAGCGUACAGAUUCCUCCAUAAUCCCCAGGGUUUGAAUUUCUUAGGGCUUUUGAUGUGACCCUGCAUGUCCUGCUCCCAGAAGGGACCACAAGACUCCUGCAGCUCCCAGCACCAACCUGUGUAGGGAUGGCAUUUCCUUGGGGUUUUCUAGCCAUGGUGUUGUGCGGGCGGGCAGAGGACCCAAGCUAAUGAUGGAUAGGGUGCAUGGGGUACACAGUCCAGCGCUGCAACGACAGGGUCAACAGCAGCCACAUCUUAUUGAUGUUGGUGAACCUACACCGGGCUAGGCUGCCAUCCUGAUGGUCCAGGUGCUAGGAUCGGUGGACAAAGCCUCUGAAAUUCACCUUUGAGUCUCUUUCCAUAAGCAUGGGAUGGUUUCAGAGUAACUGAGCCUCUGCAUGAAGCAGUUUUGAUGUGCAGAGUCGUGCGGAUGCAGAGGUGUGCAUACCCACACAGACUCCAGUAAUGAUUUCCAGGGAGCAGCAGCUGGUCCACUCCUCUUUUUAAGAGGUGAUGUGCCUAACAGAUGCAAAACACCGGGAACAACCAGGUAGUAAAAACAAAGUGCUUCCUUCUUAUCGUAAGACAUCCCACCUUCGCAGUGCGUGCCGGAGCUGUGGUACCUCUGGUGAUCCUAUGUCGGGGUGAUCAGCAGCCAGAAGGACCUACUUGCACAUGUUCAUCUACAAGCAAAACCCUCCGGUGAGGAACUGCUCUCGACUCAGCUCCUCUGCUCGACUCUGUGUGUACUUGGCACAAGUCAGGAGGUGAAGAGCUCAGCCCGGGCAGAGCAAACCUCUCCUCCGAGUGCCUGUGAUAUCGGGGCCCCAGAGAGGCGGCAGGCAAGAAGACGAUGAUUUUUUGCCUGACGUGCUGAGCUACAGCUGCUCUACCCCGUCCUCUCGGGAGUGGGACGAGGAGGGGGGUGCAAAGCCACGAUGACUUCACCAGCAGCGCGAGGGUAGGAUGGCGUCCAGCUGAUCCUUGCGAAACGCCCUGCCGAGCGUGCUGGCCCACGGGCACGCUUCCCGGCUCCGAGCGUGCCCUGCCAUCGCACGGUCCUCGCUUGAGUCACUUAUAACCCAAUACUGGAUCGUUACCACAGGCAUCGAAAAAGGGGGUUUUUUGCUUUUCAGUGACUUCAUGAAUCGAAGACACUGCCAAUUAUCUAUUAUUCAUGGCAUUUAAAAUGUCAACACCUCCCUCCCAAAUGAAAAUGGAGUUAAAGGUCCUGUGCUUCCCUGUGCCCCUUGCUCUCCCCUCGUCCCACAGCGGGGCCGUGGAGAUUGGCCUUUUAGGAAGCGGCCAAAGCAAUCUUGCCUCCUCUGCUCAGCUAAAUCGUAUUUGCAAUUUAGGACCAUGGCCUUGUGAUCCUGCACCCAGCACGUGCAGUGGGACCUGGGGCAGGGGGAGGACCUGGGGACAGGUCUGGUGGGGAGCCUGGUUUAGCUGUUCCUCAGAUCUGUCGCUGCAGCUCAUGAGCUAUUGGGGAACAGCCGUGUUUGGUCUGUGGUGGUCUGUUCCCGGUCUGUCCAGUCCAGAGGUAUUCAACCCCAGAGUAGGUGCUCUAACUCUUUGCUCAUGACUUCCAUGUGUUUCCAACAUCUCUGUUAAAAAGAAACCUCCAUCUCUCCCCCUCGUUUCCUUUUCGCUGAGACUCUGCUUGGAACUUGCAUAAAUCUUGCCCAAAAAUAACACUGGCCGCUCUCCCAGCUGUGGGCGUCGUGACUUCUGCACAGGGAAGGGAAGGCUGCGAUCUGAUUCGUUUCAUGGCAGAUUUCGGUCAGCUUUGGCACCCCUCCAUCCUUGCUGGUACCAAAUUUACAAGGUUCCUCUUUCCAGCUUUUCACUCUUCUCCUGGGCUUACCUCUGCCUCUCUGAGGCCUCGUCUCUGGAAAGCCACGGUGUUUUCUUGGCACAACUGACUGCAAAACGUGGCACAGACAAACCAAUAAAAGUAGCCAAUAAACUCGGCGAGUUCUGCAAGUGGCCAAGGCAGCGCCGCUUCCUUUGGGAUGACAUUAAAAUGCAGCAGAGAGGAUGAGACUCGGAUCCUUUUCUGUUUGUUUCCCGGCCGAUAUAUGAUUUUUCCACUGGUGCGAGAAGAGUUCUGAGAAAUUUUUUUACAAAGGAAAAUAGUUAUAGGGACAACUGCCACGGGUGCCGGCAGGCUCAGCCUGGGGUCCUUACUGUGUUAAGCAGCCUCUAGGUCAGUGGUGGCUAAUCAAAACUGGAGUGAAAACCAAGAGCCUGAUGCCCAGCUGGUGCAAAUUUGUCAAACUCUAAUGAUUUUAAUGAGCUUGACAUCCACAGAUCACCUGUGCUGAUAGCUCCCUUGCAUGCUUCUGGUGGGAGGCAUUAUAAGGAGAAGAAGGGCAAGUUGUUCCUCUUGGAAGUCCUUCCACCUUCUCUGGGCAGAGAGGAAGGACACUGAGGGAGCUGAGCCCUGGCUGAUCCAUGUCGGUUGGAGGACCUUUGAGACACGGAACUGGCUUGGCUCUCUGGUAGUGUGGGUUAUCUUCCUACCCAAGCAGGGUAAAUCAGGAGGCAAAUGUACUGAAAUGGUGGGAAUGACCCAUCAGCCCAUCAUGACAGCCUGUGCCAUAGGGAAACAGCAGCGGGAGAGGUCCUGGGAGGCUGGCAAGGGAGCCUUGUCCCUGCUCUGAGGCUCCAGCCAGCCUGGAAAUGCAAUAUAUUGCUGGCUUGCAAGAGCCCCAGGAGUGACCCGCUUGUGCGGUGCUGGUGGGGCCAGCCGUAGCCUUCUGGGAUGAGGGAAAUGCUACUGCUGGCUGCAGCCCUGCUGAAGAUGAGGGACAUCCUUUGACCCCAGCUACAGAAGAAACAACAUCUGCUAUAAAAAUCUGCUGGCCAGGGGCAGUGGGAGCGGAUACCACUUAUCACGGUUUGGCUAUUGGAGGCAGUGGCUGGUUCCCAGCAGAAAGUGCCUCAGCCCGGGCCCCGUGAUCGUGGUGUAUACCGAAGCGGUGUCUCAUCUGUCUGCAAGCUGCACAGAUUAGAUGUACGCAGAGAGGAUGGAGAGCUAGGGAAAAAAGAAAGGACAGAGGGAAUUGGAUAGGAAGGAGUAAGGAAAUGAAAGAAAGACUUCCAGGAAAGGUAAAGAGACAACACUGUAUUUACAAAUAUGUACCUGGACUUAAGUGAAGUCUCCUAUGUGCUGCUGGGACACAAAGUCAGGCUGCUUUCUAGUAAAGCAAAGUCUGUGAGGUAGCGUGUCUGUUCCUGGGCUUUAACUGAAGAGUGACAUCUCUGAAGAAGCAGGAAAGUGGUCAGGAGUAAGCAUGAAACAUGUAAGAUUGCAGAAUUCAAAAGGAUAAACAUUAUUUGAUACCUUAUUUAUAGGGCACCACAGGGGAAAGGUAAAGGUUUCAGAAAAGAAAGAAGCACUUUAAUUUUAUCUGGAGAUUUUCCAACAAUAAAAUCUAAUCCAUCAUUCUCUCUGUGUGACUGCUCUUAAUGAAAAUUUAGAGGCUGUGACUGAAAUUUAGAAUUCACAGGGGAUACUAUUAGGAAGAUGUCUAGCAGCUAUGCAAAACCUGUUAUAUCAUAGCCCCUGCCAAAGGCCGGGGAAGAGUGGAGUGUGAAAUGGACAGCUUUUAAUUUGGCGUGCCGAGGCUCCGCAGCGCCCAGCCUUCCUCUCCCGGGUGGCGGCAGUGGGAUUGCUUGGGACCCGCGGCAGCCGUCCAUCCAGUGGGCUUCACUGGGGAUCGGCUCACCGGGUGACAGCCGGGCUCCAGCAACGGCAGCUGUGGUGUUGGUUUCAAAAGAGUGUUUUCUUCCAAGACUGAACGGAGGAGGCCCUACAGUGAGGCAAGGUCUGUCGGACACCGUCACGAGAAGGAUGUCCUGGCUACCUGACGGGCUCGGUGAGGGUUGCAGCUCUGCUGCACGCUGUCCUUGGCCGUACGCCUUGCUCCCAGACCAACACCAGGACUGCACCGCUUGGCCAGCAAAAAGAGCUGCAAGUGUUUGAGAAUGUGGACAGCAGGGCUGGGUUUGUUCCUGCCUCUGCACCAGGGGGAACGUCCUCGCUCAAAGGCUGGAAGAUGGGUGAAACGGCGGUGAGGAAAGGGUCAAAACACAUCCCCCCAACUGCGAGCAAAAGAAAAAUGUUGGCAGAGCAAACCUUGCCACAGGAAUAAAAGGUUGUCCUGACUGUUCAUAUUACUCCACAUGGGGCAGCUGACAAACAUGACCUCGCUCUGCGCCAAGCCCCAGCAAACAGCAGUACAGAGUUCCCACUUCCUUCGCACAGAAAGGGGCAGAGGCAAGCACACGGCAAAGCAGUCUGUGCUGUGAGGUGAUGGGAAAGCUGUUGCUCUCGUGCUGAAACAUGAGCAGAAGAAUCUGCAUUUCCAGCUUGUGGCUCAGGAUGGGGCGUUACAUUUGAGCUAUGGGCUCAAGGAGAGUUCUCUCUUCACCCCAAAUGCAAAAGACUGACCUACAAGACAAAGACCAUGAAGCAGGAGCCUAUGAUGUCAAUCCCAGACCUUGAGCUUUGCUAGGUCUGGGCACGAAACCCAACAUGGCAGAACAGGCCAAGCUCAGGCGAUGUGAAACUUAACCAACAUAUUUUACACCCACACCACUAAAAAUAGGACACCGACGCCAACUCUUCAUCUGGAAAGAGAGGAAACACCAGCGUUGCUGUGUUUUGGAUGAGGCGCAGCACUGAAGUUCUGACCAUAUUUAGCCAUAAGAUCAUCUCGCAGGACUUCUGCAUGAGAGUGGAGUUUUAGAAAAAUUAUUCUGGCCAAGUGCCAGUUCUGCCUUUAUUAUUUCUCCCUGCUAUCUCAAUCCUUCAUUUCAUCACCUAAAUUGCUGUGUUGAGUUACUCGAGGCUGCUAAAAUGCUGUCAUGCUACAGAGGCAACUGUAUGAAGGAAAUGAUGUCUCUACUGAAAGUGCUCUGUACAGCUGAAAUCAGGCUACCUACUUAGGUGUCGGGUUUAGAUUUUUCAUUGUAAGCACAGAAACUUGAAACAUUUUGCCCAAAUGUGUUGAAAGCUAUGAAGACAUUAAGGAUUAUUCGUGGAAUAAAUAUUCAUUUGCAGGAAGACUUUUUUUUUUUAAUGCAUUAAUAUUUUGGGCAGCAUGUUGCAAUCUGUGCAGCUGCUUACAGAAAAAGGUGAUCAUAUUCUGAGUUCUGUUUCAAUAGUUCUUAAUAUUAACAAUACCAGUAACGUACCUCAUUUUUAUGAUUUAAUGGCAGUUUCUGCUUAAGUUAAAAUACCCGCUAGCUUUUCCUUAACUAUUAACUAAUUACUAGUAAUGAAAAAUUCCCUGAGAACUGGUCUUCAAAUGCUUCCCUACCAGGUGCUGUAAUACUGUUGCUUUGCUGAUAAUUUUUAACCACAAAUACUACAUUACACCCGCUGCCCUGAACACCAGAAAAAUGUCCUUAUUUUAUUCGC